AAAUGGACUUAGAAUUCCCACAAGCCUUCCAGAAAGAACUCACCUGCCUCAUCUGCCUGAAUUACCUCAUAGACCCCAUCACUAUAGGCUGCUGGCACAGUUUCUGUAGGCCCUGCCUCUGCCUUUGCUGGGAAGAAGCCCACACUCCUGCCCUGCAUGCAGGGAACCGUCACAGCAGGAAGAUUUCAAAACCGAUAUUCUUCUGAAGAAUCUAGUGUCCAUUGUGAGAAAAGCCAGUCUCUGGCAAUUCCUGAGCUCUAAUGAACAAAUGUGCGGGAUCCACAGGGAGACAAAGAUGUUCUGUGAUGUGGGCAAGAGCCUGCUCUGUUUUCUGUGUUCUAUCUCGCAGGAACACUGGGGCACAGAAACACUGGCCCACUGAAGGGGAAGCAAAGGA
rnacentral:lncRNA from 1 species